UUAAAAUCUUUGGUGCAAAUUCAUAAAAGAUAAGGAAAGGAACAUAAACACACUUAACUCUCAGUGAGACAUUUGUUGCUGCACUGAUGACAAAUAUUUUAUAUUGGUUUCUAUUUGGAUAUCUUCAGAGUUAUGCAGAGAGCACUAGUUUCAGAAUCAGACCCAGGUUAAAUAUCAAUAGGACAUGUCGUGAAAUCUAUUGUUUUGCAGCAGCAGUACAUUAUAAUACAUAUUUUUUUUAAAAACUAAUAUUUGUUUUUCACUUCCACAGAUGCUGCCUGACUGGCUGAGUUCCUCCAGUGUUUUGUGUUUGUUGCUUGGAUUUCCACAUCUGCAGAUUUCCACGUUUGAGUUAAAGUUCAUGGGUUUGUUCAUUGUCCAUUCAGAAAUCUGUUGGGGAGGGGAAGGAGCUGUCCCUAGAACACUGAGAGUGUGUCUUCAAGUUCCUUUACUGCCUCCUUGAUGGUAACAAUAAGAAGGCAUGUCCUGGAUGAUGGGGGUCCUCAAUGAUGGAUGCCGCCUUUUUCAGGCUUCUUGUUUUGAAGAUGUCCUUGAUGUUGGGGAGGCUUGUGCCCAUGAUGGAGUCUGCAAUUUUCUGCAGCAUUUUCCGAUCCUGUUCAGUGGCCUUCCAUUCCGGACAGUGACACAGCCAGUUGGAAUGCUCUCUCCAGUACAUCUCUAGAAAUCUGCAAGUCGGCUGUCAUACCAAGUCUCUGCAAGCUCCUCUUACUUCAGUGCUUGUUCCAGGGUUCUGUGAAGAGCCAAUGAGACAGCAUCUGCUGUAGACCUGUUGCUUCAGUAGGCAAACUGAAGUGGAUUCAAGUCGCCACUCAGACAAGAGCUGAUGUGCUUCAACACCAGUCUCUCACAACACUUCAUCACUGUGGAUAGUUACUGAGGCAGGUUACCAUGUUCUUCUUGGGCACCGGUAUGACUGAAGCCUGCUUGAAGAAGAUGGGUAUCACACACCGCUGGAGCAAGAGGAGACCACGCGGGUCUCCAGCCUCCACACUAUAAAACAGUGUACUGGAAAUGGCAUUAAACAAGCUUGAACCUUACAUCUGGACAUGCGCCUGAGUACAGAGAUUCAGGACAAGUGUGGCAAAUGGAAUUAGCGCAGAUACAGUUGACGUCAGAAGUUCACAUAUACUCAGGUUGAAGUCAGUGUUUAACCAGAUUUCAUAUUAGCAAACAUAUUGAUAACAUAUUCAUAUUGAUUUCAUAUUAGUUUUGGCAAGACGUUAAAGACAUCUAACUUUGUGCAUGACACGAGUAAUUUUUCCAACAAUUGUUUACAGAUUAUUUCACUUUUAAUUGACUAUAAUCACAAUUCCAGAGGGUCAGAAGUUUACGAACAAAAUCGAAAGAAAUCAGCCGUGACCUCAGGAAAAAAAAAUU